AACGAACGCUGGCGGCAUGCCUAACACAUGCAAGUCGAACGAGACCUUCGGGUCUAGUGGCGCACGGGUGCGUAACGCGUGGGAACCUGCCCUUAGGUUCGGAAUAACUCCCCGAAAGGGGUGCUAAUACCGGAUAAUGUCUUCGGACCAAAGAUUUAUCGCCUUUGGAUGGGCCCGCGUUGGUUUAGCUGGUUGGUAGGGUAAAAGCCUACCAAGGCGACGAUCCAUAGCUGGUCUGAGAGGAUGAUCAGCCACACUGGGACUGAGACACGGCCCAGACUACUACGGGAGGCAGCAGUGGGGAAUAUUGGACAAUGGGCGAAAGCCUGAUCCAGCAAUGCCGCGUGAGUGAUGAAGGCCUUAGGGUUGUAAAGCUCUUUUACCCGGGAUGAUAAUGACAGUACCGGGAGAAUAAGCUCCGGCUAACUCCGUG
rnacentral:rRNA from 1 species